UUCUAUUUAAUCCCUUUAAAUAUGAUAAAUUACAUUUUAACCUUUCAAAAUUUUAUAAUUUAAUUUAGAUCCAAUCCAAGGGAAGGAGGUUGUAUUGGCUGAGCUCAUCCACCACACCAAACAUUAAUUAUUGGCAAAAAGAAAUUGUUACAAACUUACAAUGCAUGGAGAAAACAUAGAAAUGUACGAAAAGAAAAUCCCAAUCCUUUUGCAUUAUUUCUCAAUAUCAAGAGUACUUAAUUUUUUCUAGUGAUUAUGUUGAGAUUUCCUAUAAAGUUCUCUUCUUUUUUUCAAGAAAUCCACAACUCUAUUGUAAUCGGGGACAUUGUCUUUGAUCACAGGGCGUUCGCUGAAAUGCCUGACCCAGGCAUGCAGGCGUGGGAAGCUAUCGGCUUUAAUGAACUUUACUCGCCCCACCACCUCUUCCAUGGGUGCCAACAUAUGAAUAACCAUUCCAAAAACAAGGUCAGCGACGCCAAUUUGGUCGCCACCGAAGAACUUUUUUGUCUCUAAGACCAUGUUCCUCUCGUCCUCAGAAUUUCAUAGUUGUUCUCGAUUGCCUUCUGCUGUUCUUCACCGAAUUUACGAAAGAAUUCCCACAUUGGUUGAGUCUGCAACCUUAUAUUAAUAAGGGUGUUCGCUGAAAUGCUUGGCCCAAGCAUGCAGGCGUGGGAAGCUAUCGGCUUUAAUAAACUUAUAUCCCACCACCUCUUCCAUAGGCGCCAACAUAUGAAUAAUCAUUCCAAAAACAAGAUCAGCUAUGCCAAUUUGGUCGCCACCAAAGAACUUUUUGUCUCCAAGACCAUGUUCCUCAAUCGUCCUCAGAAUUUCAUAGUUGUUCUCGAUUGCCUUCUGCUGUUCUUCGCCGAAUUUACGAAAAAAUUCCCACAUUGGUUGAGUCUGCAAACUUAAGGUUAGGAUCAAAUAUUACUGGUCUACAAGUGGUUUCAGACUAGAUCCCCAGAUUGGAGGGGUGAAAUUGGUUUUGAAAUGGAUUAAUUCGAAUUUUAAAAUUUUUUACAUUUUGAAUUACUUGUUUUGGUCAUUUUGGGUUAGAUUUUUUGAUGGUGUAGCUUGUUUUUAAGUUUGGAUUGGGCAAGUUUUGAUCAGUCAAUCCUGGAUUUGACUUCA